rnacentral:rRNA from 1 species
GACGAACGCUGGCGGCGUGCUUAACACAUGCAAGUCGAACGGAAAGGCCCUGCUUGCAGGGUACUCGAGUGGCGAACGGGUGAGUAACACGUGGGUGAUCUGCCCUGCACUUCGGGAUAAGCCUGGGAAACUGGUCUAAUACCGGAUAGGAGCCAUUUUUAGUGUGAUGGUUGGAAAGUUUUUUCGGUGUAGGAUGAGCUCGCGGCCUAUCAGCUUGUUGGUGGGGUAAUGGCCUACCAAGGCGGCGACGGGUAGCCGGCCUGAGAGGGUGGACGGCCACAUUGGGACUGAGAUACGGCCCAGACUCCUACGGGAGGCAGCGGUGGGGAAUAUUGCACAAUGGGCGCAAGCCUGAUGCAGCGACGCCGCGUGGGGGAUGACGGCCUUCGGGUUGUAAACUCCUUUCGCUAGGGACGAAGCUUUUUGUGACGGUACCUAGAUAAGAAGCACCGGCUAACUACGUG